GGUCUAUAGAGUUCAUUAUAGAUCAGGCCUGCUCAAUGCAAUCAGUAAAUAGCCGCAGUACUCUGACUGUGCAAAGGUAGCAUAGUAAUUAGCCCUUUAAUUGUGGGCUGGAAUGAACGGUUUGACUGGGUAGUGCUGUCUCGUUACUAUACCUUGAACUUUACUUACUAGUAAGAAGGCUAGUAUUAUCUAAGAGGACAAGAAGACCCUUUCGAGCUUUACAGGGAUAUCCUUCACUUCCAAGGUGGGUUUAACCUGUUGGACUGGGGCAGUAGAGGAAAUCUAUCCUUCAAACACUAUGGGAUACAGCCCUAGCCGUAUCUAGAACUUCUAAAGUGGGAACAAGUUACCGUAGGGAUAACAGCGUAAUUUCACUAGAGAGAACGUAUUGGCAGUGAAGUUUGCGACCUCGAUGUUGGAUUAAGGGACCUACCCUAUGCAGAAGUAAGGUAAGGCAGUCUGUUCGACUAUUAAACCCUUCCA
rnacentral:rRNA from 1 species